AAUGGUACCCUAGUGACUACA
rnacentral:miRNA from 1 species